rnacentral:rRNA from 1 species
UGGGGAAUUUUGGACAAUGGGCGAAAGCCUGAUCCAGCAAUGCCGCGUGUGUGAAGAAGGCCUUCGGGUUGUAAAGCACUUUUGUCCGGAAAGAAAUCCUUGGCUCUAAUACAGUCGGGGGAUGACGGUACCGGAAGAAUAAGCACCGGCUAACUACGUGCCAGCAGCCGCGGUAAUACGUAGGGUGCAAGCGUUAAUCGGAAUUACUGGGCGUAAAGCGUGCGCAGGCGGUUUGCUAAGACCGAUGCGAAAUCCCCGGGCUCAACCUGGGAACUGCAUUGGUGACUGGCAGGCUAGAGUAUGGCAGAGGGGGGUAGAAUUCCACGUGUAGCAGUGAAAUGCGUAGAGAUGUGGAGGAAUACCGAUGGCGAAGGCAGCCCCCUGGGCCAAUACUGACGCUCAUGCACGAAAGCGUGGGGAGCAAACAGGAUUAGAUACCCUGGUAGUCCACGCCCUAAACGAUGUCAACUAGUUGUUGGGGAUUCAUUUUCCUUAGUAACGUAGCUAACCGCGUGAAGUUGACCGCCUGGGGAGUACGGUCGCAAGAUUAAAAACUCAAAUGAAUUGACGGGGUCAUAGCUGUUUCCUG